GACGAACGCUGGCGGCGUGCUUAACACAUGCAAGUCGAACGGAAAGGCCCUGCUUUUGUGGGGUGCUCGAGUGGCGAACGGGUGAGUAACACGUGAGUAACCUGCCCUUGACUUUGGGAUAACUUCAGGAAACUGGGGCUAAUACCGGAUAGGAGCUCCUGCUGCAUGGUGGGGGUUGGAAAGUUUCGGCGGUUGGGGAUGUACUCGCUGCUUAUCAGCUUGUUGGUGGGGUAGUGGCUUACCAAGGGUUUGACGGGUAGCCGGCCUGAGAGGGUGACCGGGCACAUUGGGACUGAGAUACGGCCCAGACGCCUACGGGAGGCAGCAGUGGGGAAUAUUGCACAAUGGGCGGAAGCCUGAUGCAGCAACGCCGCGUGCGGGAUGACGGCUUUCGGGUUGUAAACCGCUUUCGACUGUGACGAAGCGUGAGUGACGGUAAUGGGUAAAGAAGCACCGGCUAACUACGUG
rnacentral:rRNA from 1 species